UGGUAGAGCGUGGCCGGCCUCGCCGGUCGUCGCGACACCCCCUGUGUACCCCUCUGGUUGCUUCGGCGGGCCGCCGGCUCGUUCGGCCACUGCCCCCGGGCGGUGUGCGCCCGCCGGAAGACCCCCAAACCCUGGCUUUUGCAGUGAUGUCCGAGCCUUUUUGAAAUGAAUCA
rnacentral:misc_RNA from 1 species